GCCCGGCUGGCGCAAUUGGCUAGCGCAUACGACUUCUACGAGAAUUCCUGCACCUCGUCAAGAGGAUGACAUCAGGAUGAUUGAGUGAUCGUGAGGUUGUGGGUUCGACUCCCACGUUGGGCU